AUUUUGUUGGGCCCAGGCGCCAUUUUGUUGGGCCCAGGCGCCAUUUUGUUGGGCCCAGGCGCCAUUUUGUUGGGCCCAGGCCUUGAAAAUACAAAUGUGAGAGCCUGAGAUGUGUAACCUGAGAAACUGCUGGCACAGCCUGGCUUUUUCCUCCUGGUGGAGAUAAUGUUUGGCUGUUCCCCACACAGUGAAAAUCUGGAUCCCUCCAUUUGUAGUUUAGUGUCCUCUCACAGGCCUUAGAAGCCUGAGGGGACAUUGACUUUAACUUAUUGCAUACUGUCCCUUACUGUUUUACAAAGGUUAAGUGCAGUUUGCCUGAGAAACCAUAACUACCAUACCUGGGUGCAACAAAGUGUGGAAGCUCUUGAAGCCCCAACUCAUUAUUGAGAGAACACAAUUGUGAAGGCAGUUGAUGAGAACAGAAGAAGGAGCAGAUGAUGGCACCAAAAGCUGCCCUGGAGCUGUGCCUGGUGCAAACAGCAUCCCGUGUGGAGAAGCAGAUCGUGCUCCUGCAAAGUUGAGAUCCCAAGUGGAGGAUUCCUGGUGACAGCCAGCGCUACUGCCGGGAUCUGGGAGCUGCCUGCGGGCGCCGAGCUGGAGCAGAGCAAGCAGAGUCAGGAGUGCUCAUAUUGACAGAUCAGCAUGGUGGAUUUUAUGGAGGAUUUCUACAGCUGAGGGAUAACUGUGAAUUCCCAGGUUCUCCUCUGAUGGUGUCCAUCUCACAGAGCUCUGUUAGGAAGCAGCAAGUGGACCUGGGCCGUGUGAGCACCUGCCAGGAUCUACACUCACGAAGUUCAGGACCAGACUUCUUUUUCAGCCUGAAAUAUUCCUGUUGGGCUCUCAGACACUCAGGGGAAUGAAAGCAAACAUUUUGAAAA